UCUCUCCAGCUCUGUUGCGGACACGUUUUGAAGAAAGAGAAGCGAAUUCGAAAACAGAAAGAAAAAAACCAAAACAAAAAAAAUGGGAAGUGAUUUCUUUAGCGAAUCUGAAACGUGGGUUUCUUCUGUGAACGGAAUUCGAGAAGACCCAGAUGAUGAAAUUUCCAUUGAAGAAGGUGAAGGAAUCGGGUCGGAUUCGGAUUUGGAAUUGGACGAAUCGGUUCAAAUGGGAGCGAAGAAGAAGAUGAUAAAGAAGAGGAGUCAGGUUUUGCUUGAAGGAUUUGUGGAGGAUGAUGACGAUUUGAUGAGGACGAAGAGCUUGACGGAUGAGGAUCUUGAUGAGCUUAAAGGCUGUGUAGAUCUAGGGUUUGGUUUCAGUUAUGAUGAGAUUCCGGAGCUCUGCAACACUCUGCCAGCCUUGGAGCUCUGUUAUUCCAUGAGCCAAAAGUACAUGGACGAUCAGAAGUUGCUGGAGAGCUCUCCGGUGCCGGCGGACUCUUGUUCGUCCGUGUCGAGUCCGAUUGCCAAUUGGAAGAUCUCUAGUCCCGGCGAUCAUCCAGAAGAUGUUAAGGCAAGGCUCAAAUUUUGGGCUCAGGCAGUGGCAUGUACUGUUAGAUUAUGCAACUAAGAAGACCAUGGAAUGGAAGUUUUGAUUUGGCGGAGAAAAAUGAAUGCAUCUUUUUGCACCGGUAACCUUUAGCCUUAUGGUUGACGACUUUGCACACUUCUGAGAAAAGAUAGAUUGAAUGAUUGAACAAACGUGUCGUUUGAUGAGUCUGACUUAUGAUGAAGGAGAAGAAGAAGAAGAAGAAGAAGAAUGUGUCAGUGGUUUGACUUUGAGAGCUUAGCUUCCAUAACACACCCAACACCCAAGUCUCUUUCACUGACCUUUUUGCAUAUGGCUGAGGUUUUUCCAAUGGAAAGCAGGGCAGAAAGUUCAUUCUUUGUUGUUUCAAUGUCUAAGUAGGGAAGUUUUUGGUUUCUGAUUUUGGGUUGGUGGUGGUAAUAUCUUCUAGUUUAUGCUAUCCAACAACUUCAAGUUAGAGGCUGGGGAACGUUACAGUCUCGAUGUCGUCUCUACUUCCUGAUUUCUAAUCUACCUGAGUGCCUUGAUGCCAAAGGAAAAGAAAAUGUUUGGUUGAUGUUGUAUAAGUAGAAAGGUUCCGACUUAUGAUGUCUUUGUAGUUAAGUUCUUGAGUUUAGGGCAUGUUCGGCCAAGGAGUGGGAGAGUUUAACUUUACUUCUUGUUUGGUCAUCGAAUUCUUAAGCUCGUUUUAGUCUUAUGACUAAAAGCCAUCAAUUUUACGACUUUUUAAUUCUUUACACAA